UACGUAGGGUGCAAGCGUUGUCCGGAAUUAUUGGGCGUAAAGAGCUCGUAGGCGGUUUGUCGCGUCUGCUGUGAAAACGCGAGGCUCAACCUCGCGCCUGCAGUGGGUACGGGCAGACUAGAGUGCGGUAGGGGAGAUUGGAAUUCCUGGUGUAGCGGUGGAAUGCGCAGAUAUCAGGAGGAACACCGAUGGCGAAGGCAGAUCUCUGGACCGUUUACUGACGCUGAGGGAGCGAAAGCGUGGGGGAGCGAACAGG
rnacentral:rRNA from 1 species